rnacentral:rRNA from 1 species
UGCCAGCCGCCGCGGUAAUACGUAGGGUGCAAGCGUUGUCCGGAUUUAUUGGGUUUAAAGGGUGCGCAGGCGGUUCUUUAAGUUCGUGGUGAAAGCGUCCAGCUCAACUGGAUACCCGCCAUGGAUACUGGAGAACUUGAGUGUGUUCGAGGGGGUUAGAACGCGUGGUGUAGCGGUGAAAUGCAUAGAUAUCACGCAGAAUACCGAUUGCGAAGGCAGACCUCUGGGACAUAACUGACGCUGAGGCACGAAAGCGUGGGGAGCGAACAGGAUUAGAUA